rnacentral:rRNA from 1 species
GUGGGGAAUCUUCCGCAAUGGACGAAAGUCUGACGGAGCAACGCCGCGUGAGUGAUGACGGCCUUCGGGUUGUAAAGCUCUGUGAUCGGGGACGAAUGGCUGGUGUGCUAAUACCACAUCAGAGUGACGGUACCCGAAUAGCAAGCCACGGCUAACUACGUGCCAGCAGCCGCGGUAAUACGUAGGUGGCAAGCGUUGUCCGGAAUUAUUGGGCGUAAAGCGCGCGCAGGCGGCUUCUUAAGUCCAUCUUAAAAGUGCGGGGCUUAACCCCGUGAUGGGAUGGAAACUGGGAGGCUGGAGUAUCGGAGAGGAAAGUGGAAUUCCUAGUGUAGCGGUGAAAUGCGUAGAGAUUAGGAAGAACACCGGUGGCGAAGGCGACUUUCUGGACGACAACUGACGCUGAGGCGCGAAAGUGUGGGGAGCAAACAGGAUUAGAUACCCUAGUAGUCC